AAGAGCCGUGUGCGGGAAAACUGCAAGCACGGUUCUGUGAGGGGGCGGGUGACUCCUGAAAGAGUUACCCGCUCUACUCGAC
rfam:Candidatus Falkowbacteria bacterium RBG_13_39_14 RBG_13_scaffold_13097, whole genome shotgun sequence.